rnacentral:tRNA from 1 species
CUCAAGAGCGAGACUUGUGGUCUGGAGUGCCCUGAGCUCAAGCUUCAGGUCAACCCCGGUACUCUCGGUGGUCGCUUCACCACUGUUGAGG